CGUUUGUCAAGGCUUGUUGGCUCUGAUUUAAUUUAAUGUGCAUAAAUUAACCAAAAUUUAAUAAGUCCCAGCAACAGAAACAGCCUCGGCCAAGGCCUCAGCUCCAGCUUACAUCUCAUACUGUGAACAAGAUGGAUGGCAAGCCGAUUUGUAGCCAACUGCAUUUCUAAUCGGUCUCUGGCUAUUUGCAUGUCGAACAAAAUUCAUUACAGAAUGUUCUCUGUCAUGGAAAUUUGAGGUGUGUGUCUGUGCGGCUAAUGGAGUUAACAGACAUGGCCUUUACACACACGAUACACAUCGGAAGCGGAAGCACAAGGACCGUCGGGCUGCACGCACGACAGAUAGCAAUGUGCAACGUCUGUUCAGAGUGUGAUUCCUGACGCCCUGUUUUUGGAGAAGCUUAAAUAUAUUUUGGAGCUGGGGACUGUGGCUGCAACAGACAGUAGGAAGCCGUACGAAAAUAUACACACGAUUAAACGCAGACGUCCAACCAAGUUCAGAGCUGGAAAUUUAAGAACUUAAACUGAUUUAGGAAAAAUGGUCCUCUGCGCCAGUUCACCUUCAGGGCACUAGAGAGCGCUCUGUGCUCUGAGGUUGUGGAGGUUGAAAGUCGAGAGCGCAUUUGUGCCGGCCACUAAAUCCUCUUAGAAUGCAUCUAGACGGGCUACAAGUGGCUUCAGAACUUUUUCAUGGACUGUGCCACUGACGAGCCACUGACAGACAGCACAUAGAAGCGUAGAAGCGAUAUAUGUACGUAAACAACGAUGGUUAUGAAGCUUCAGGUGCAAGGAGAGGAGUGGAGAGGCGAGGCGAGGUCAGGAGCAGGACAGACUUUUUAACCUACAUAAAAACCUGUGAAUCCCCCAAAGAGCGCGCUGAAAGUGAUACUCGUACCCAAACCCCUCGACGCUGCAUCGUCCUGUCCAAAGUAAGUUGUGAUUCUGUCAGAAUUGUUGGUGCUGUGCAUCAAUAUUUCAGUCAACUUUGUGCCCCCAUGAGGCGCGGACCGACACACGUGUGUGUCCAACUUUUUUUGUCUGACUUAAUCUGUGAAUUAAGCAGUGGGCAUAUUUGAUGUCGCUCAACUGGAAAACAGCUCGGAAAACCUGAAAGAAAGCUCUACAAAGACAUGUCCAGCUAAAAGCCCCACUGUGUGCCGAGUGGAGUUAAUUAGGGUAAAUGCUUAGAUUGAACUCCUGGGGAAAGCCGAGAACUGGUAUGAAAGCUGAAUGCUGCAGAUACGGCAGAAGGAGAAGAUUUCUAUGGGACAGCAGAAAUCUUGAAUGCUUUAAAUGCAUUGAGAAAAGCUUGUUAAUUGAAAGUACACUCUAAAUACAGCGAAUGCAUAAAGCAUACAAUAUAGUGUGAUUCAUAGGGAUAAUUAACGUGCAAAUUCAUUCGAAUUAAAAGAAAACCUGCAACGUCCGGUAUGGCAUCCAGUGGCUGCCAUUAAACAGCCACGGCCACGACCACAACUCAGAGCGAAGUUGGUCUUAAAACUGACAUAAAAAAGCAAGGAAAAGCCGCAUUUAAAUUAAUGUUGAAAUACAGUGCGCAUACAUUCAGCUGUCAGAGACAUGCGCCGACAAAGUCAAAGGUGAACGGAGCCCACAAGCCAACCCACGAACAUUUCCAGCCAGGAAACUAACCAAAAACUCGCCCUCCACCACGUAAAAGGCUCUCCUGCAGGAGCUUACAGAAAUGCGACUUGACAUGCUGACGCAGCUCGCAGUUAUACAGACAACACUAUAUCAUUAGCACGGACUUCUAUGGACCUACAAGGUUAUUAAAGGCGUCUACCUUAAAUUUUCCUAUUUUGUGUUGUGCUCGCACGAGGCAGAGGUGGAGUUAGUUUGGGGAAGGUGUUUAGUAUAUGCAUUCAUUAUUUACUAUGACCCACGGGCAAGAUUUAUCAGCGCUUCCGAUCGAAUGGACCUUUUAGGAGUACUUACCGC